rnacentral:lncRNA from 1 species
GCACUCGGCACCAGGAGUGACCAUGCUGGGCUUAAGGAGGAUACCCUCAAACAUGACAUUGUUCUCAGCCAGGUAGUAGAAAACCUCAGCCCAAACCUUCUGAGCAACUUCAAAUGUCCUGUCGAUUCCAUGCUCACCAUCAAGCAAGAUCUCUGGCUCCACAAUUGGUACCAACCCGUUGUCCUGCCAAAGGUUAAGUAGACAUUUGUUUACAAACUGUAAUAAAGAAGUGCAACCGCAAAUAGACAAACGCUCAGUUUCAGCUGAGUUUACCUGAGAAAUGGCAGCGUAGCGGGCGAGACCCCAGGCAGCUUCCUUCACAGCCAGGGCAGAUGGGCCAUUUGGGAUGCUCACAACGGUACGCCUGAUUCAAUGACAAAUAUUUCAAUAAGUUCUUUACGAAAUCGAAGAUGGGGGAUAUUGCCAAUGUGGAAUUGGGUAAAAAAAUAGUGAAUUAAGCUGUUUAAGCUAAUGAUUUGACACUAAGCAGAGCAUUUGAAAGGAAAGGAUAGAGGAAUGCAGAUUGUCAUACCAUUUGGCGAAACGAGCACCUUGCUGGUAGUAAGCAGCCGAGCGGGAAGCAAGGCCAUCGAGACCUUGGCACCAGGACUCAUUGUUCGAACCGGCCAAAGGCACCAAACCCUGUCAUUUCCACAAAUAAAUCCUAAGAAUUCACACCACUUGAAUUCCUCUUCCAAAAAUGUCAUAUCUUGAGGACUUCAUAUGGAUAUAAUCAUACAGAUAGGUGAGCUAAUUUACCUUGUCGACUUUGAUACCGGGGACGAUGUUCUGCUCAACAAGUACAUCAACCAUCUUGCGUCCAUCGACUGUGGACUGGUAGAGAGUCUCCUCGAAGAGGAUGGCACCGGAGAUGUACUCGCCGAGCCCUGGAACUGUCACCAGCAGAGUUCUGUAGGCUUGGCGGUUGGCUUCGGUGUUCUCUAGUCCAAUCGAGGCAAGACGCUUCCCGCAAGUGGCAUUUGAUUCGUCCAUGGCCAAAAUUCCACGUCCUGGCGAUGCGAUGGUUUUCUGUUUACAGAAAGUGACAUGAAUUAUGAUACAAGCAGUUGUAUGCUUGAAAACCACGAUCAUGUGAAGCUGAGGUUAGAUGCAGAUGCGUUUUUUGCACCGUAACGUUUGGAGCAUGCUUAGGGUGGAAAUCUGGCGGCCACACCGGUGGAUCUUGCCUAACUAAAGCUGGUGAUACAUGAGCGCCCAGUGCAUGGAGAUUGGCGAAUGUGCAUGAACAUUGGUAGCACCUUUUUAAAACAAAGUUGUGCCUCGAGACAUGUUCUAGCUGUGUCUGUCUCCUAAUAUUUCUUAACGCAAUUGGGCAGGAUGUCAGAACUCGGAACGUGGGAGUAGAACAAAGUCGUGAGCAAUAAUUAGCUUACGUAACCAAUUAAAGCUUAACAAAUCAAUAGUCAGAUACUGAUAUCUAGUGAGCUACUGGAUGGACAAUCCUAAUCAAAUUUCUUAUUCAAGAACUUUCAGCAUCAAACCUGUUUUACAGUGGACAUAACACAAGCCAAGAACUCAUGCCUCACUCUUAAUUGUCAAACUCACUGUAUGUGCCGACACUGAUUUUUAAACUUCUUAUUAGACUUUCGGACGAUGUUUAUUCAAGUUGGUGAACAAACUGGAGAAACACGUGCCAUCGCCUACUUUACUUGUUGCAAGAUUAUAUUGGUAGAUGAAGGACACACAUCACCUAUCAUCUAACUUGUAUUCAAGUAAAAGAGAACAGCAAGAACCAUACCGCGGUCUUGACAAGCUCAUCGGCAUAACUGGCUUUGACAGUGAGGACAGAGGCGGCGGCAGGAUGGCAGCGCACGGUGGUGGCCGAGGCGUGGCGGAUAGACUGACCCUUCACCCACUCGGACUUGUCAAGGACUGGGGAUGACUUGAGCAGCGUUGCAGAAGCAGAGGCCAUUGCUUCUUGCUUUGCUUCUUUCGCUUCUCAAAGUCCCAAUGCAAAAAUAUGCGAAGAGUGUGUGCGCGUGCACUAUGUAUUU